rnacentral:misc_RNA from 1 species
AAAAUUCUUCAUGCUAACAUUUGAAACAACUUCAAAUUUCCCUGUUUAAAUAUCAACUACGAAAACAGAUCCAUGGCAAAUCGAUAGGCAUAACCAUAUCACACUGACAGAACUAUCAAAGUCGACUUAUCUCAAUUCAAAACUAAAUACCCUUAAGAAUGACAAUGCAGCUUCUCAUAUUUAAAUGGAAACCUAACUGGACAACCAUAAGCUGUUUGUGCACCACCUCAUCCACGGAGACCAACCACUUCAACUAUCUCCCCAUCAAAACGAUGACAAGAUGCAGAAAAAUUAGGAGUGGAGCCAUGCUAGAUUAAUAAUCACAUACUACCUUCUGUCCUAAGCCUUUUAGGAGCACCACCAUAGUUCUCUCCACUGCUUAAUCUUGUAGUUGUGGCUCCACUGCUUGUUUUUUUGCUGAUAUCAAGCUGUACUCUAACAUCGGCCAGUGACGGAUCCACUCCCACAGAUGCUAGAGUCUGGUUUAUGAUAUUAAGCAACCUUUGACUAUAUGCAUGUGAUCUUCCAACUGCUUCACCAUCGAAUUUCACUUCUUCUUGAUCAUUUCUGCCAUAGCUCAGAACCUCCGACUCAAUUGUAUCUCGUUUAUCUGGCCAACAUAAUGAUUGUGUCUGAGAAGGGUGCUCAGCAUCAGGAGAUGGUUCAACAGAUGCAUUUUCAAAUAAAUUAGGUUGCAGUGGCAUGUUAAAGGCAAUUGCCUCAUCCGCUGCCAUAUGAGAAUCGUGUGUUGCUCUAUAUAAAGCAGCAGCAGUCAAGUUCGGUUCUACAAAGCUCUGGACACUUGCAAGCAAUGUUGGGUUAAUGACAAUAUCAUCCUCAUGAGUAGAGCCGUUUCUGAUUAUUUGAGAAUGUUCAACAGAGCCUUCCACGGGCCCAGGAGUACUUCUCCAUGGCAGCAACUUCGAGGGUUCUGCACUCCAUCCUUGGUUGGUUCCCUCAUACAUCUGUAAUUUCUCUUGCAAAAACUGGAUAUAUUGUAUAACCUCUAACAUGAAUGACGCUCGGUCUCUCUUCUGAUCAUUUUGUGGUAUGAGAUCUCUUAGAGUCUGAAAUCUCUCAUUAAUCUUGAUCCUCCUCCGCUGUUCUGUCUCAGAAUGCUUCGAACGAUGAGCACUUACCUUCCCAUCAUUGCUCUUCCCUUCUAAUUUCCCCUUUUGAGAAGAGCCAUCGGGAGUUCUAGAUGAAAACUCUUCAUCGUCUUCUUCGUCCUCUUCAUGAUGAUUCUUCACAGUCCUCACCAUUUCAAAAUCUGAAACCAGCUAACAAAAUUCAGUCGAAAUAACAACUUAUUAG